CACGUGACGAUCCUGGAGACUCUAGUAUGGCGGCGUCCGUGUCGCCGCCGCCGCCUUUGCCAAUUGAGGGGAUGAUGAAAUUGAGCCACAAAAGGCAUAGAGCACUUUUGAAGAAAGAGAAGCGGAAGAAAAGGAGACAAGCUCUAGCAAGACUGAGAGAUUCAGAAAAUAUAAAUAAAGAUGAACCAAUUUGUGAAAAAGAACUGAAUGACGAAGAGCAAGAACUUGAAGAUGAAAGGCAAAGGCUUCAUGAAGAAUGGUUGCUAAGAGAAGAAAAGGCUCAAGAAGCUUUCAAACUCAGGAAGGAAAGAGAAGAUGCAGCCAGAAAACGUCAGGAGGAAGAAGAGGUAUAGUGUAUGUUUUGAAACAGUGAAAUAGACUCCUUGAGCUAACUUUUGGAUCUUCAAACAUCAUUAAUGUCUUUAUUUUAAAAAAGAGAGCAGCACCAAAUUGCCAGAAACUAAUAUUGAUAAUGCAGCAUUAUAUUUGGAAAAAAUGCUAAAUGAA
rnacentral:lncRNA from 1 species